GAUGAACGCUGGCGGCGUGCUUAAUACAUGCAAGUCGAGCGGACAAACGACUGCCUUUCUGCUGUGUGUGGAGGAGCGGACAAGGGGUGAGUAACAGUAGAGUAACCUUCCCCCACUGGCUGGAUUACCGCAUAAAAGAGCGGCUAACACGGGAUAUAUUGGGGCGCUCGCUUCAUUGGUUAGAGAAGGUUUUUCUGUCGGUGGGGGAUGGGCUCGCGGCCUAUCAGCUUGUUGGUGGGGUGAUGGCCUACCAAGGCGAUGACUGGUAGCCGGCCUGGGAGGGUGGACGGUCACACUGGGGCUGAGACACGGCCCAGACUCCUACGGGAGGCAGCAGUGGGGAAUAUUGCACGAUGGGCGGAAGCCUGAUGCAGCGCCGCCGCGUGAGGGAUGGAGGCCUUCGGGUUGUGAACCUCUUUCGCCAGUGAAGAAGGCCUGCCUCGUUUGUGGGUGGGUUGACGGUAGCUGGAUAAGAAGCGCCGGCUAACUACGUG
rnacentral:rRNA from 1 species